AAUUGGAGAGUUUGAUCCUGGCUCAGAGCGAACGCUGGCGGCGUGCCUAACACAUGCAAGUCGUACGAGAAAGCCUUCGGGCAAGUAGAGUGGCGAACGGGUGAGUAACACGUGGGUAACCUACCUUUGGAUUUGGGAUAACAUUUCGAAAGAGGUGCUAAUACCAAAUAUGACCACAGAGUCUAAUGACUCAGGGGUGAAAGAUGGCCUCUCCAUGGAAGCUAUCGUCCAUUGAUGGGCCCGCGCUCCAUUAGCUUGUUGGUAGGGUAAUGGCCUACCAAGGCGACGAUGGAUAGCCGACUUGAGAGGGUGAUCGGCCACACUGGGACUGAGAUACGGCCCAGACUCUUACGGGAGGCAGCAGUGGGGAAUUUUGCGCAAUGGGCGAAAGCUUGACGCAGCAACGCCGCGUGAUCGAAGAAGGACUUAGGUUCGUAAAGAUCUGUCGUAGGGGAAGAAUAAUCAAUAUUCUAACACAAUAUUGAUCUGACGGUACCUUAUAAGAAAGCUCCGGCUAACUUCGUGCCAGCAGCCGCGGUAAUACGAGGGGAGCAAGCGUUGUUCGGAUUUAUUGGGCGUAAAGGGCUCGUAGGCGGAUUGAUUAGUCAAGAUUUAAAUCCAAUGGCUUAACCAUUGAUCUGGUUUUGAUACUGUCAAUCUUGAGUUAUAUAGAGGUAAGCGGAAUUCCUGGUGUAGCGGUGAAAUGCGUAGAUAUCAGGAGGAACACCAAAGGCGAAGGCAGCUUACUGGAUUUAUACUGACACUGAGGAGCGAAAGCGUGGGUAGCGAACAGGAUUAGAGACCCUGGUAGUCCACGCCGUAAACGAUGAGCACUAGGUGGUGGGGGAUUCGACCCUUUCACUGCUGCAGUUAACGCAUUAAGUGCUCCGCCUGGGGACUACGAUCGCAAGAUUGAAACUCAAAGGAAUUGACGGGGACCCGCACAAGCGGUGGAACAUGUGGUUUAAUUCGAUGAUACGCGAAGAACCUUACC
rnacentral:rRNA from 1 species